rnacentral:rRNA from 1 species
UACGGAGGGAGCUAGCGUUGUUCGGAUAUACUGGGCGUAAAGCGCACGUAGGCGGCGCAGCAAGUCAGGGGUGAAAUCCCGGAGCUCAACUCCGGAACUGCCUUUGAAACUGCAGUGCUAGAAUCCUGGAGAGGCGAGUGGAAUUCCGAGUGUAGAGGUGAAAUUCGUAGACAUUCGGAAGAACACCAGUGGCGAAGGCGACUCGCUGGACAGGUAUUGACGCUGAGGUGCGAAAGCGUGGGGAGCAAACAGG